rnacentral:rRNA from 1 species
UACGGAGGGGCUAGCGUUGUUCGGAAUUACUGGGCGUAAAGCGCGCGUAGGCGGAUCUGCAAGUCGGGGGUGAAAUCCCGAGGCUCAACCUCGGAACUGCCUUCGAUACUGCGGGUCUCGAGUCCGGGAGAGGUGAGUGGAAUGCCGAGUGUAGAGGUGAAAUUCGUAGAUAUUCGGCGGAACACCAGUGGCGAAGGCGACUCACUGGCCCGAUACGUGACGCUGACGGUGCGAAAGCG